rnacentral:rRNA from 1 species
GCGAGUGGCGAACGGGUGAGUAAUGCAUCGGAACGUACCCGGGAGUGGGGGAUAACUAUCCGAAAGGAUAGCUAAUACCGCAUAUUCUGUGCGCAGGAAAGCAGGGGAUCUUCGGACCUUGUGCUCCCGGAGCGGCCGAUGUCAGAUUAGCUAGUUGGUGGGGUAAAGGCCUACCAAGGCGACGAUCUGUAGCGGGUCUGAGAGGAUGAUCCGCCACACUGGAACUGAGACACGGUCCAGACUCCUACGGGAGGCAGCAGUGGGGAAUUUUGGACAAUGGGCGCAAGCCUGAUCCAGCCAUGCCGCGUGAGUGAAGAAGGCCUUCGGGUUGUAAAGCUCUUUCGGCCGGGAAGAAAUCGUAUAGGUUAAUACCCUGUGCGGAUGACGGUACCGGCAUAAGAAGCACCGGCUAACUACGUGCCAGCAGCCGCGGUAAUACGUAGGGUGCGAGCGUUAAUCGGAAUUACUGGGCGUAAAGCGUGCGCAGGCGGUUUUUUAAG